rnacentral:rRNA from 1 species
ACGGGUGAGUAAUACAUCGGAACGUGCCCGAUCGUGGGGGAUAACGAGGCGAAAGCUUUGCUAAUACCGCAUACGAUCUACGGAUGAAAGCGGGGGAUCUUCGGACCUCGCGCGGACGGAGCGGCCGAUGGCAGAUUAGGUAGUUGGUGGGAUAAAAGCUUACCAAGCCGACGAUCUGUAGCUGGUCUGAGAGGAUGAUCAGCCACACUGGGACUGAGACACGGCCCAGACUCCUACGGGAGGCAGCAGUGGGGAAUUUUGGACAAUGGGCGAAAGCCUGAUCCAGCCAUGCCGCGUGCAGGAUGAAGGCCUUCGGGUUGUAAACUGCUUUUGUACGGAACGAAAAGCCUCUUUCUAAUAAAGAGGGGUCAUGACGGUACCGUAAGAAUAAGCACCGGCUAACUACGUGCC